rnacentral:lncRNA from 1 species
AAGCAAACUGGUGAAUGCGAUCUGGCGAUCUUUUUCCCUGAAUUUCUGCAUGUAUAGAAUGUAGUUGCAGAUUAAAUAAUUACAUGGUUCUGCUCGAUUCAGGAUAAUGUAUUACAAGAGGCUGUUGUGUGCCAGUGGACAAGCUGGUGAGAAGCUGAACACUAAUAGCUUGAAUCCUGGUGAAUGGACUGCCUGCAUAAGCGUCGUCAUGAUUUUUCCACGUGAUGAAUGCAAGCCAGUUUGCCUUAAAGCAUCCCUUCUUGGAAAAUAUCUUCUAGUGUUUCAUCACAAAAUCAGUCAAAAACUGUUUCUCAUGAUUUGAAAAAUACGUAUAAAGGAAGUCAAAUUUAAUUGAUAAAUUGUGCAUGCUGAGAUUGUAUACUAUAUCAUAUACAUUUUUUAAUAUAUUUUCUGUAUCUCUAAUGUUGAGAAUUUUGAUGUUUUAAUUUAACCCUGAAUAAAAUGUUAAGUACUAUAAGCAAAGUAAGCAGUAUUGUAUUUGAUGUCAGAACAAUAUUUUUUUAUUUUUUUAUUUUAUACUUGUAUAUUUUUGCUUAUGAUUGGAAUUUUAGUACAAAUUAUUUUGGCAUGAUGUGGCCUGUUCUCAUUUAAAAUGCAUUUUGUAUUUUUUUUUCUUCUGUUAUUUGCAUUAUAAUAGUUUGGCCAUAACAACUAUGGAUGCCAAAUCAACAUGUAUGGGAAUAACUGUAUUAAAUUUUGAGAAAACCUUUAGGUGUCAUUUAUUAUAAAGGUUGAGAUGAUUGUUUUUAUAAAUUCAUUCAUUCUUAUCUAUUUAAGAAUUAUCAUUUAACAUAAAAAUAUGAAAAAGAAUAAUAUAUUAUAAUACUAAAUAAAAUAUACUUUUAUAUAUAUAUAUAUAUAUCCAAGCUCACUAUAUGCGCACUCAAAGAGAUACAUUUCUUUUUUGUGAUGUAUGUGAUGAUAAUUUACUGUUAAGUAUCUUAAGUUGUUCAUAAAUAGUGCUCAUUUUUCAUAAUGCACCAAACAAACCUCACAUAAUUAAUUUAAUAAAAUAUUAUUGCAGAGACAUAUUUUUGAAAUUGACAUUAGUCCUCUAUCCAUCCGUCCCAUAGGGAUAACUAUGGGGCAGAUUCCUACUGUCAUCUACAAUAUGCCCAAGCCCUUCGCCAAUGACAGUUGCUUCUCAAUACCCGUAUUUUACAAUUAAAUUCAUGAAUCUGAUCUGGCUGAGUUUCAUAUCAGGGGAAUUAAAAAAGCA